rnacentral:rRNA from 1 species
GAUCAGCCGUACUCCGAAUGANUAGGAUUUAAGUUUGAUCAUGGCUCAGAUCUCAACGCUGUAGGCAUGCCUUACACAUGCAAGUCGAACGGCAGCACGGAGCUUGCUCUGGUGGCGAGUGGCGAACGGGUGAGUAAAAUAUCGGAACGUACCCAGGAGUGGGGGAUAACGUAGCGAAAGUUACGCUAAUACCGCAUACGUCCUAAGGGAGAAAGUGGGGGAUCGCAAGACCUCAUGCUCGUGGAGCGGCCGAUAUCUGAUUAGCUAGUUGGUGGGGUAAAAGGCCUACCAAGGCACGAUCAGUAGCUGGUCUGAAGAGGACCGACCCAGCCACNACUGGGAAACCUGNAGGACANCGGGUCCAGAACUUCCCUUACCGGGAACNGCAACGACACGUGGGGGGCAAANUUUGGGNACCCAUGGGGGGCCAAACCCUAGAAUUCCAAGCCAAAUGGCCCGCGUNAGUUAANAGAAAAAGGCCCUUAUUCCCGGGGGGAUAUGGUGUAAAAAAAGGGCCAACCCACAUAUGCGGUGCACCCAGGCAGGGGACACAGCCAAAGACACAACCGGGGGACACCUAGGGGCGGCUAAACAAGAAAACCCCANAGAGGUGUUACCCCCUUCACAUUGAGACCGCGGGGGAACCCCCCUUAGAGACGNNAAAAUAUANGGCANAACCCCCGAGGGGNCUAUAAAGACCCAUAUCAUCGGAUAGCCCACCAAAGCAAGAGCCCCGCAGAGGAGGAAAUAAGAAANNCGGCAGUAGAAGGGC